rfam:Ceriporiopsis subvermispora B unplaced genomic scaffold CERSTscaffold_9, whole genome shotgun sequence.
GGCAACAUGGCCGAGUGGUCCAAGGCGCUGGAAUCAGGAUCUGACGUCCGCCCAUCCAGUCCGAAAGGGCGCGAGUUCGAAUCUCGCUGUUGUCA